AUAUAAAAGAAAGGUUGCAUUUCUAAAUCUCUCAGAAAGAUUUAUGCAGUAGCAGCACGAUAAAGCGAUGUUAUGUUGCCAAGUUAUUGUAGUAGUCCCAUAAAAGGGAAGAAUGCUACUGCUAUUUAGCCUCAGGAAACACCGUUUCCAG